UUAACAACGGUCCCGACCUCACAGCGGCUAAACCGAGGGGACAAAGGCUAAGAAAAGAUGCAACUAGAAAACAAAAUGAACCACAAAUUAAUACGAACAGUUUGGGCCAAAGUUGGUUAUUAUUUGUCAAUAGCCCAAAAAGUCCACGUCAAGUUUCCCUAAUCACGCUUCUUCCAAUUCACACAAUAAUGUCGUCUUCUUAGGAAACGCCAGACGAGUUUAGCACAUUUCGCUGUCAUUUGUGCAAAUCUCUUAUCUGUUAUAUAUGGUUGGGGAGGUUGCAU